GUGACAUCACAUUGACGCUUCGUGUCAAAGAAAUUAGAUUACAUCCAACUUCUAGCGUCACGCACCGAUGAGGACACUGUUUCAGGCUAAUUGCUUCAUUAAAUGUUUCGACUCAUUUGCCGAUAUUCCAUCCGAAGUGACCGGAGCAAAGUCUCCUCUCUCUCUGUAUGUGUGUUCGCCACUUGAACGUGCCCAAAUGGCUCUCCCAGCACGAAACGGUCUCGACAGCGGCUGGAAUACUGAUGCCUAGGACGGAGAAGAAUAUUGCGCCGACUAGAGAGAUGAACGGGUCCAAUUUGGGUACCGCCGAUGCUACGCCCACUGCAAAAGGACACAGCAGUACGUUAUUCUCCGACCCCGAACGGGCAGGGCUGAAUUAAUUUUUAUUUCUAAUUAAGUUUUAAAAGUUAAUGGUCCAUAAAAUUAAUUCAGUUGAGUUAAAAUUUACCGAAAUUGAAACUGACUUAAUUGAAAGUUAAGUUGAAUUAAAUUACCUCGUCGAAGUUAAAAAUUAAUUACGCAAAGCCACGAUCAAUGAUUUUAAUAUUUGAUGGAUUUUAUUUCACCUCACG